GCUUGUAAAUGUUCAAUGUGUGUUCACUAGUGUUAGUGUGUUCACUAGUGUUAAUUCGCCUUAAUAUGUCUUUUUAUUGAGUUAAACCAUUUCAAUAGAUAGUUUAUAGUGUGUCUUUCUUUGUUUUGAUGUUACACUAUUGUUUUAGAUAAAGGUUGGUGGUUAGUAACUAUUAUUUAAAACGUUUAAACCUUCUGCAUUUGUUUGCAACUGUCCUAAGUCAGAAAUCUGAUGUUCAGUAGUUGUCGAUUGUUAAUAUUGUUCAUAAGUGUUUCUCGUCUCUUUUUUAUAUAGAUUAGACCGUUUGUUUUCACGUUCAAAUGCAUUUCAAUGGUCAUUUUUAUAGCUCUUCAUAGCUUGCUCUGUGGUGUAAGCCACGGACCCUUGUUAGAGACCGUACUUUGGCCUAUAAUGGUUUACGUUUACAAAUUAUGACUUGGAUGGAGAGUUGUCUCUUUGGCACACAUAUAUGUACCAUAUCUUUUUAAAUCCAUCAAGUCAAAUUACAGAAUAGGGGAGGUACAUGUAUUACACUUGGAAACAUGGCAUCAUAUAAAUUCAUUGUAAAAAGAAAAUCAAUUCACAAAACAUCGGUUUCAGGAACAGUCCUUAUCUUAACAGUUAGUUCACAGGCAAUCGCACGCAUUUUUCAACGAAAAUGAUAGGUUAAACCGGAUGUUGUAACAACCUGACCGUGCGUCUGGUCUGACAGUUCUUUACAAUUUGGUCUGACAGUUCUUUACAAUUCUGAUCACUUGACAAAAUUUGGUGAGCAACUGUGGAUUGUUUUGGUAUCCGCGAACUACGAAUUCCAAAAUAUAACGAUUACAAAUUUCUGUAAGAACGUAUAGAGACUUUGGUAAAAACCACGAAAACAGGUAUCCAGGAACAUGUACAUUUUCUCAA
rnacentral:lncRNA from 1 species